UACGUAGGGCGCAAGCGUUAUCCGGAAUUAUUGGGCGUAAAGAGCUCGUAGGCGGUUUGUCGCGUCUGCCGUGAAAGUCCGGGGCUCAACUCCGGAUCUGCGGUGGGUACGGGCAGAACUAGAGUGAUGUAGGGGAGACUGGAAUUCCUGGGUGUAGCGGUGAAAUGCGCAGAUAAUCAGGAGGAACACCGAUGGCGAAGGCAGGUCUCUGGGCAUUAACCUGACGCUGAGGAGCGAAAGCAUGGG
rnacentral:rRNA from 1 species